AGGCAUCCAGGCUACUUCAUAGACCUCAGGGCUGAGGGGUCUGACCUUGUCACAAGGAGUGGACGGCCAGGACAGGAAAAGCCUAAUGACUGAGAGAGACCUAUGGAGCAGUCAGACAUGAGCGCUGGAAGGAGGAGCUCCUGGGAUGUUCUUGCUAAAGCCACGUUGCCUCAUCUUCCACCCACACCUGCUGACCCAGCUCAUCACUGGCAGCGAGCGCUGAGGUGAUGGCCCCGACUUGCCACGGCACCUGUGAUCCAGUGGGGCUUUGGAUUGACUAAUAGCAUAUUCAGCCAAUACCUACUGAGGGCCAGUCUACAUGUGCUGGGCCCUGUCCUAGGCACUCUAGGACAGUAAUCUCAUGGAAUACUCACCACAACACUGGGGAGAUGAAAUGUCAUGUCAUCCACACUUGGAAAUGCGAAAACCAAGGUGCAGGAAAAAGAAGCUCACCCUUUUUGGAGACCAACUGACUAGACAGAGAUUGCUAACCGGCCCUGAUUCAGGUUGGACACGUGACCCAAACUACUCAACAGGUGUGGCAGCAUCUGCCUGAGAGCAAACGCUGGGGCCAAAUCUCAUCCUCUGGAUACAUCGUGGGUGAAGUUAAUCUCUGCACAGGGAUUAGUGCUAUAGGCAAAUAUCAGAUAUUCAAAUAGGAGGUACAUUUAAUAUUGGACAUAUUUAUUCUCCUUGAUGGGAGUGCAGAUGGGGUGAAAUGAUCAAGGAGGUAGAAGGGAAAUUAUAGGAAGAACUUUUAAAGUAAUUGAUCUCAGGGUCUAUCCUAGAGAGACACUCCCACAGGAGCACAAAGAGGCAUAUUUAAGAAUGUGCACUGCUUUGUGACCACC